CAGACAUUUAACAGACUUGUGACAAAGUCCUGCUCAGAACUUCUUGUUCUCAACAACCAGCUAGCUAGCUGCUACGCUAACGAAGCUAGCGCAGAGAAAGGCGGCGUCGGUCUGAAGGAAUCUGCUCCCACACGUCGCGACCACUUCCCUGAAGACAGCAAGAAGUCCACUUGGUGAAAGAAAUACCAGCGGACACUGCCCCUGUCAGAGCGAGGACUUCCUGCUGCAGACAUCCCACUUCCUGCUGCAGACAUCCCACUUCCUGCUGCAGACAUCCCACUUC